rnacentral:rRNA from 1 species
ACGUAGGGUGCGAGCGUUAAUCGGAAUUACUGGGCGUAAAGGGUGCGCAGGCGGUUGCGCAAGUCAGGCGUGAAAUCCCCGGGCUUAACCUGGGAAUGGCGCUUGAAACUACGUGACUGGAGUAUGGCAGAGGGAGGUGGAAUUCCACGUGUAGCGGUGAAAUGCGUAGAGAUGUGGAGGAACACCGAUGGCGAAGGCAGCCUCCUGGGCCAAUACUGACGCUCAUGCACGAAAGCGUGGGGAGCAAACAGGAUUAGAUACCCUGGUAGUCCACGCCCUAAACGAUGAUGACUAGUUGUUGGAGGAGUUAAAUCCUUUAGUAACGCAGCUAACGCGAGAAGUCAUCCGCCUGGGGAGUACGGUCGCAAGAUUA